GUGCUUGCUUCGGCAGCAUAUAUAUUGAAUUGGAACAAUACACGGAAGAUUAGCAUGGCCGCUGUGCAAGGAUGACACGCAAAUUCGUGAAGCGCUCCAUAUUUAA
ensembl:snRNA U6 U6 spliceosomal RNA